rnacentral:rRNA from 1 species
GACGAACGCUGGCGGCGUGCCUAACACAUGCAAGUCGAGCGGAGACAGCGGAAGAGCAAUCUGAGUCUGUCUGAGCGGCGGACGGGUGAGUAACGCGUGAGCAACCUGCCUUCCACAGGGGGAUAACGUACCGAAAGGUACACUAAUACCGCAUGAGACCACGGUACCGAUGGUACAGGGGUCAAAGGAGGAAUCCGGUGGGAGAUGGGCUCGCGUCCGAUUAGGUAGUUGGCGGGUAAUGGCCCACCAAGCCUAUGAUCGGUAGCCGGCCUGAGAGGGUGAACGGCCACAUUGGAACUGAGAGACGGUCCAAACUCCUACGGGAGGCAGCAGUGGGGAAUAUUGGGCAAUGGGGGGAACCCUGACCCAGCAACGCCGCGUGAGGGAAGAAGGUUUUCGGAUUGUAAACCUCUAGUUCUUGGAGAAGAGUGUAAGACGGUAUCCAAGGAGGAAGCCCCGGCUAACUACGUG